rnacentral:rRNA from 1 species
GAUCCAACUGGAGUAGUGGGUGAUCCUAUGCUGUCGAGAAAAACCUCUAGCGAGCUACGCGCCGCCCGUACCCCAAACCGACUCAGGUGAUCAGGUAGAGAAUACCAAGGCGAUCGAGCGAACCAUGGUUAAGGAACUCGGCAAAAUGCCCCCGUAACUUCGGGAGAAGGGGGGCCGGAUCCGUCACUCACCUUGCGUGAGGAAGCGGUGAAGGCCGCAGAGACCAGGCCCAAGCGACUGUUUACUAAAAACACAGGUCCGUGCGAAGUUGUAAGACGAUGUAUACGGACUGACUCCUGCCCGGUGCUGGAAGGUUAAGGGGACCGGUUAGAACGCAAGUUCGAAGCUGAGAACUUAAGCCCCAGUAAACGGCGGUGGUAACUAUAACCAUCCUAAGGUAGCGAAAUUCCUUGUCGGGUAAGUUCCGACCUGCACGAAUGGAGUAACGACUUGGGCGCUGUCUCAACCGUGGACUCGGCGAAAUUGCACUACGAGUAAAGAUGCUCGUUACGCGCGGCAGGACGGAAAGACCCCGGGACCUUUACUAUAGUUUGGUAUUGGUGUUUGGUUCGGCUUGUGUAGGAUAGGUGGGAGACUGUGAAACCCUCACGCCAGUGGGGGUGGAGUCAACGUUGAAAUACCACUCUGGUCGUACUAGAUGUCUAACCUAGGACCAUUAUCUGGUUCAGGGACAGUGCCUGAUGGGUAGUUUAACUGGGGCGGUUGCCUCCUAAAAUGUAACGGAGGCGCUCAAAGGUUCCCUCAGCCUGGUUGGCAAUCAGGUGGCGAGUGUAAGUGCACAAGGGAGCUUGACUGUGAGACAGACAUGUCGAGCAGGGACGAAAGUCGGAACUAGUGAUCCGGCGUCGGCAUGUGGAAGCGACGUCGCUCAACGGAUAAAAGGUACCCCGGGGAUAACAGGCUGAUCUUCCCCAAGAGUCCAUAUCGACGGGAUGGUUUGGCACCUCGAUGUCGGCUCGUCGCAUCCUGGGGCUGGAGUAGGUCCCAAGGGUUGGGCUGUUCGCCCAUUAAAGCGGCACGCGAGCUGGGUUUAGAACGUCGUGAGACAGUUCGGUCCCUAUCCGCCGCGCGCGCAGGAAACUUGAGAAAGGCUGUCCCUAGUACGAGAGGACCGGGAUGGACGAACCUCUGGUGUGCCAGUUGUCCCGCCAGGGGCACGGCUGGUUAGCUACGUUCGGAAGUGAUAACCGCUGAAUGCAUCUAAGCGGGAAGCACGUUUCAAGAUGAGGUUUCCCACCCCCUCGAGGGGGUAAGGCCCCCAGCAGAACACUGGGUUGAUAGGCCGGAGGUGUACAGCAGCAAUGCCCAGCCGACCGGUACUAAUAGGCCGAGGGCUUGUCUUA